rnacentral:rRNA from 1 species
AUUGAACGCUGGCGGCAGGCCUAACACAUGCAAGUCGAACGGUAACAGGAAGAAGCUUGCUGCUUUGCUGACGAGUGGCGGAGGGGUGUGAAAAGUAUGGGAAACUGCACGAUGGAGGGGGAUAACUAGUGGAAACGGUAGCGAAAACAGCAUAAAGUAGCAAGAGCAAAGAGGGGGACCUCAGGGCAUCUUGCCAGAGGAUGUGACCAGAUGGGAUUAGCUAGUAGGUGGGGUAACGGCUCACCUAGGCGACGAUCCCUAGCUGGUCUGAGAGGAUGACCAGCCACACUGGAACUGAGACACGGUCCAGACUCCUACGGGAGGCAGCAGUGGGGAAUAUUGCACAAUGGGCGCAAGCCUGAUGCAGCCAUGCCGCGUGGAUGAAGAAGGCCUUCGGGUUGUAAAGUACUUUCAUCGGGGAAGAAGAGAGGAAAGUUAAUACCUUUCCUCAUUGACGUUACCCACAGAAGAAGCACCGGCUAACUCCGUG